GAUGAACGCUGGCGGCGUGCCUAAUACAUGCAAGUCGAACGAAACUUCUUUAUCACCGAGUGCUUGCACUCACCGAUAAAGAGUUGAGUGGCGAACGGGUGAGUAACACGUGGGCAACCUGCCCAAAAGAGGGGGAUAACACUUGGAAACAGGUGCUAAUACCGCAUAACCAUAGUUACCGCAUGGUAACUAUGUACAAGGUGGCUAUACUACCGCUUUUGGAUGGGCCCGCGGCGCAUUAGCUAGUUGGUAGGGUAAAGGCUUACCAGGGCAAUGAUGCGUAGCCGAAUUGAGAGGUUGAUCGGCCACAUUGGGACUGAGACACGGCCCAAACUCCUACGGGAGGCAGCAGUAGGGAAUCUUCCACAAUGGGCGAAAGCCUGAUGGAGCAACGCCGCGUGGGUGAAGAAGGUCUUCGGAUCGUAAAACCCUGUUGUUAGAGAAGAAAGUGCGUGAGAGUAACUGUUCACGUUUCGACGGUAUCUAACCGGAAAGCCACGGCUAACUACGUG
rnacentral:rRNA from 1 species